UUAAAUUGAAGAGUUUGAUCAUGGCUCAGAUUGAACGCUGGCGGCAGGCCUAACACAUGCAAGUCGGACGGUAGCACAGAG
rnacentral:rRNA from 3 species